GACGUAGGGCGCGAGCGUUGUCCGGAUUUAUUGGGCGUAAAGAGCGCGUAGGCGGCUAGAUAAGUCCGGUGUGAAAGUCACAGGCUCAACCUGUGAAUGCCGCUGGAAACUGUCUGGCUAGAGUCCGGAAGGGGCGAGUGGAAUUCCUGGUGUAGCGGUGAAAUGCGCAGAUAUCAGGAGGAACACCAAUGGCGAAGGCAGCUCGCUGGGACGGUACUGACGCUGAGGCGCGAAAGCGUGGGGAGCAAACAGG
rnacentral:rRNA from 1 species